rnacentral:rRNA from 1 species
UACGUAGGGGGCAAGCGUUGUCCGGAUUUAUUGGGCGUAAAGAGCGUGUAGGCGGUUUGGGAGGUCCGUUGUGAAAACUCGAGGCUCAACCUCGAGACGCCGAUGGAAACCAUCAGACUAGAGUCCGGAAGAGGAGAGUGGAAUUCCUGGUGUAGCGGUGGAAUGCGCAGAUAUCAGGAAGAACACCCGUGGCGAAGGCGGCUCUCUGGAACGCAACUGACGCUGAGACGCGAAAGCGUGGGGAGCAAACAGG